AUGUUGGAAACAAAGGAAAAAAAGAAAGAAGAAAGUUGACAAAAAAAAUCUUUUAAAAUGGUUAAACGCAUCUCAAACAUGUCCCAGUUUUUUGUUAUUCUAGUUUUAGUUGCAGCUGUUUGGAACAUGGAAUUACAACAAGUGGAAGGUGCAAAGCCAUGUACAACACCUAUGGGAGCAUGUGGUCCAGCUGGAGAUUGUGUUAAAAGGUGCAAAGCUGCACACGCUGAGGGAGCAGGGGAAUGUGAAUUGGGUCUAUGUAGAUGUACUCAUUGGUGCGAAUGAAAAGGCUAAAUAUAAGGGGAAGAUUUAAGAACACGGUUUUAUGUUACAUGCAGUUGAUACCAUAUUGUUUGUAAAUAAUGUUAGAGAUAUAAUAAAGGCUCUAUAAUAAAUAAUAAUAGAUGUCCUCGUUAAGUAUUAUUAAUUAAUAAAAAGUUAUAGAUGUUGUUGAUGCAAUUAUCGAUUACAUUAGAAAAAAUUGUAAAGGUAAUUAUAAAAAUGGAAUUAAAUUCUCCAGUAACUCCUUUAGGUUUGGUAUAUUGCCUUGUUUAAGGAUGACCUCUCUGCAGAAAAAACUCUCAUCUUUUAGAGUUGCUAGAAAUUUUGAAGGCAGUGCAAAGUAGUGAUUAAGACGAUGCUUUCGUAUGGUGGAUUUCUAGUCAUGGUUUUUCUAUCCACUCUUCCUAUGAUAGAUUGCAAUUCCUGUGUAAUUUGGUGUGCCAUCUCUAUUUUGAAGCAUAAGAAAAAAUGGUUUAUUUGUUCAUUGAUUGCGUAAUUAGAAGGCAGGUCUGAAGGCUGGUGUCAUCUUGGUUAGGCAUAGAGGAGGUAGUGAUCUAUGACUCUGUAGCAGACCAUCUCUCUGGAUUUUGUAGCUUCAUUAACAAGAAACCUAAGGCUAUUUUUUCUGCUUUUUUGACUUGUUGUUGGGUUUUAUGGCUUACUAGUAAUGAUAUUUUACUUCAAAUAGGGUGGCUAAAUGUAAAGAACGUAGUAGAGAGGAUCAAAUUUCAAUAUUGAGAAUGGUGGCUAGUUAAGGUCAAGGGUAAUUUCGAUUCCUAUUGGGUGGAUUUGGAAGCCAAUAUGAGUCUUAGUGUUAUCUAUUGAUCUGUUUAGUACUCUUUCUUUGGGAGAUUUUUCCUUGUAUAAUGGGUGGAGUACCGUUUGUACUCUUUACUCAAUUAGAUUUUAU